CAGGUCGUGAUUGAUCCCUGGG
rnacentral:siRNA from 1 species